UGAAAAAUGUCUCUAUAACCAAAAUUUCAGUGACUCACAAUUCUGUCAAGAACUGAAGGAAAUUCCUGUAUUGGUAGAGCUGUGGAUUAGCAGCAUGAAUGUGACCUGGAGAAUGAUGGGAGAAAGGUCAUCAGGCCCUCUAUUGCAAUCCCUGGGCCCACCCUGAGAACUGGCUACAAACCAGGCUGGCUGCAAGAGGAGGUUUACAUCCUACUGGAAAGACACUUCAAAUAGGCAUUGCCUUUGUAGCACCCCUGACAAUCAAGUGGCUACCUGGAUACUCCCAGAAGUUAUUACCUUACAUAGUAAGUUGUUUCAUUGUUGGAUAAUUUGGAAAUGUCCAGUUUGUCUCCAAACACAUCUUUUUUGGGGGGAAGGAGGUUACACCUUUGCUACUGUCAUUUUCCAUACCUAGAAUCCCUUCUCUCACCUCUAGUUCUUGAACUUUAACCUAUCCUUCAAGGCUCAUUAUCUCCCUUAAGAAAGCUUUUUUGAGCUUUAUUCAUCACUCCUUCCCUCCAGUUCACUCAGAACUUCUUUCUCUUUCUUCUGAAUAUUUGUAGUCUUUAGUUUGUAUCUUUUCUAUGCACACAUUACAGCCUACUUUCUGUUGAAGUUAUUUGCAUCUACGCCUUAUCCUUGUUACUAGGAGAUCUGGAAGCAUGUUGUAAUCAUCUCAGGAUUCCGAAUUUGUAUAGAACAGGCUAGGCACUGAAUACAUUUUUGUUGAAUGAAUCUGCCAGGAGCAUGAAUAUUGGGAGGGCUGACAUGGCCCUCUCAAAAUCUUGCUCUGGACUUAGGCUGUAGGGUUAGGGUUAGGGUUAGGGUUAGAGAAGGCUUUCUUUUGGACUCUACUCUUUUGGGCUUUGGGGCAAUCAUAAAAAUAGAAAAGAAAUAAGCACAUAGAUCCAUAGUGUCCUAGAAUGUUACAGAUAGAAAGGCACUCUGUUUGCCCUUGAAGAUCUAUUUUAAUAUUUACAUAUUAGCAUAUAAUGAAAUUAGCAAGAAAUGACGAAUAAUGAAGAUCUAUUUUAAUAUUUACAUAUUAGCAUAUAAUGAAAUAUA